UAUAAAAGUCCUGCAGCCAUGAUCCAAACCGUGUUUACACGGAAUGGUACAUGGAUAUUAGAUGUGCUAGCCUGUAUGAACAAGAAGAGCGACAACUCGGAUUGUGAAUACAUAUGACGAUUAUGAGAGCACUAAAGUGCAGAGCAAUCAACUUUUAUA
rnacentral:sRNA from 1 species